UGAACGCUGGCGGCGUGCCUAAUACAUGCAAGUCGAGCGAACAGACGAGGAGCUUGCUCCUCUGACGUUAGCGGCGGACGGGUGAGUAACACGUGGAUAACCUACCUAUAAGACUGGGAUAACUUCGGGAAACCGGAGCUAAUACCGGAUAAUAUAUUGAACCGCAUGGUUCAAUAGUGAAAGACGGUUUUGCUAUCACUUAUAGAUGGAUCCGCGCCGCAUUAGCUAGUUGGUAAGGUAACGGCUUACCAAGGCAACGAUGCGUAGCCGACCUGAGAGGGUGAUCGGCCACACUGGAACUGAGACACGGUCCAGACUCCUACGGGAGGCAGCAGUAGGGAAUCUUCCGCAAUGGGCGAAAGCUUGACGGAGCAACGCCGCGUGAGUGAUGAAGGUCUUCGGAUCGUAAAACUCUGUUAUUAGGGAAGAACAAAUGUGUAAGUAACUAUGCACGUCUUGACGGUACCUAAUCAGAAAGCCACGGCUAACUACGUG
rnacentral:rRNA from 1 species